rnacentral:rRNA from 1 species
UACAGAGGUCUCAAGCGUUGUUCGGAUUCAUUGGGCGUAAAGGGCGCGUAGGCGGCGGGGUAAGUCUGGUGUGAAAUCGUCGGAGCUCAACUCCGAAAUUGCACUGGAUACUGCUCUGCUAGAGGGCUGGAGAGGAGAUCGGAAUUCACGGUGUAGCAGUGAAAUGCGUAGAUAUCGUGAGGAAGACCAGUGGCGAAGGCGGAUCUCUGGACAGCUCCUGACGCUGAGGCGCGAAGGCUAGGGGAGCAAACGGG